rnacentral:rRNA from 1 species
AGAGUUUGAUCAUGGCUCAGAUUGAACGCUGGCGGCAGGCCUAACACAUGCAAGUCGAGCGGCAGCACGGGUACUUGUACCUGGUGGCGAGCGGCGGACGGGUGAGUAAUGCCUAGGAAUCUGCCUGGUAGUGGGGGAUAACGCUCGGAAACGGACGCUAAUACCGCAUACGUCCUACGGGAGAAAGCAGGGGACCUUCGGGCCUUGCGCUAUCAGAUGAGCCUAGGUCGGAUUAGCUAGUUGGUGAGGUAAUGGCUCACCAAGGCGACGAUCCGUAACUGGUCUGAGAGGAUGAUCAGUCACACUGGAACUGAGACACGGUCCAGACUCCUACGGGAGGCAGCAGUGGGGAAUAUUGGACAAUGGGCGAAAGCCUGAUCCAGCCAUGCCGCGUGUGUGAAGAAGGUCUUCGGAUUGUAAAGCACUUUAAGUUGGGAGGAAGGGCAGUUACCUAAUACGUAUCUGUUUUGACGUUACCGACAGAAUAAGCACCGGCUAACUCUGUGCCAGCAGCCGCGGUAAUACAGAGGGUGCAAGCGUUAAUCGGAAUUACUGGGCGUAAAGCGCGCGUAGGUGGUUUGUUAAGUUGGAUGUGAAAUCCCCGGGCUCAACCUGGGAACUGCAUUCAAAACUGACAAGCUAGA